rnacentral:rRNA from 1 species
AGAGUUUGAUCCUGGCUCAGGAUGAACGCUAGCGGCAGGCCUAAUACAUGCAAGUCGAGGGGCAGCGCGGUAGCAAUACUGGCGGCGACCGGCGCACGGGUGCGUAACACGUAUACAAUCUGCCCAUAUCAGGGGGAUAGCUCGGAGAAAUCCGGAUUAAUACCCCAUAACACUUUGAAUGGCCUCAUUUGAAGUUGAAAGCUCCGGCGGAUAUGGAUGAGUAUGCGUCUGAUUAGUUAGUUGGUGAGGUAACGGCUCACCAAGACCACGAUCAGUAGGGGAUCUGAGAGGAUUAACCCCCACACGGAUACUGAGACACGGAUCCGACUCCUACGGGAGGCAGCAGUAAGGAAUAUUGGACAAUGCCCGCAAGGGUGAUCCAGCCAUGCCGCGUGCAGGAAGACGGCCCUAUGGGUUGUAAACUGCUUUUAUACCGGAGAAAACCUCCUCUCGUGAGAGGAGCUGAUAGUAUGGUAGGAAUAAGCAUCGGCUAGCUUCGUGCCAGCAGCCGCGGUAAUAC